AAAUAGGUUCACUGUAGUCCUCUUUAAAUAAUAACCUACCUUAGUUCAUUCUAGCUGGUGUUUAGUUUUAAAGUAUUCUAGUUACAUAAAACCCAUAGAUCAAGCCUGUCCAAAUGUACAUGUAAACAAACUCCCAAUGGAGUAUGAACCACAGGAUUCUACAAUUAUUCACUUUCCACCUGCAAUAUCUUUCUCUCUAUGCUGAGGAGUAAGAUGUGGUCCAAGCCUUCAUAAUGCAUCACUCUGUUCUUUGUAAACUAAGCAGAAUGAUCCAACUCCAUUGCAUGGUGGAUGAGCCCAGAAUUUCUUAGCACAGGAGAGACCCUUUUUUGCUGUGGCAGAGGGAGGAACCUCUCUGACCCUGGGAGGUGCAGAGUUGGGUGACUUUGGGAUGGGUCUCCAGGGCACUGUGUUCAUGUGUGCCUACACCUCCCACCCCUUUCACAGGC
rnacentral:lncRNA from 1 species